rnacentral:tRNA from 1 species
UCCUGGUGGCUCAGACAGUAAAAAGUCUGCCUGCAAUGCAGAAGAUCCAGGUUCGAUCCCUGGGUCAGGAA